UCCGAGUUGUCCCCGGCGGUCCCCUUAGAGUCCCCGGCAUUACCCGCUGGCAACAGACGAUAGGGGUUGCGCUCGUUGCGAGACUUAACCCAACAUUUCACAACACGAGCUGACGACAGCCAUGCAGCACCUCUCACUCAAUUCCCUUGCGGGCACUCCAGGCAUUACCCCGGAUUCUGAGGAGUUCAAGCCUAGGUAAGGUUCUGCGCGUUGCUUCGAAUUAAACCACAUAAUCCACCGCUUGUGCGGGCCCCCGUCAAUUUGUUUGAGUUUUAGUCUUGCGACCGUACUCCCCAGGCGGAGCACUUAAUGCGUUAGCUGCGUCACUGAGGGAGUUAAUACCCCCAACAACUAGUGCUCAUCGUUUACGGCGUGGACUAC
rnacentral:misc_RNA from 1 species